ensembl:miRNA
UGUCGGCGUGGCGGUGCUGGAGCUGCUCAACUUCCCGCCGCCGUCCUCGCCCACGCU